rnacentral:sRNA from 1 species
CCUCCUUGAUCUGCGGACAGAUCAGGUGCACGUGACAGUCGAUCGCCCCCGCGGUGACGAUGCGUCCGUUGCCUGCGAUGACUUCGGUCGACGGGCCGACAACCAGAUCAGGAUGAACCCCGGACAUGAUGUCGGGAUUGCCGGACUUGCCGAUCGCGCAGAUGCGGCCGUCGCGAAGUCCGAUGUCCGCCUUGAUGAUUCCCCAGUAAUCGAUGAUCACGGCACCCGUGAUCACCGUGUCGGGUGCACCGUCGGCGCGGGAUGCGCGGCCCUGGCCCAUCGACUCGCGCAG